rnacentral:rRNA from 1 species
GAGUUUGAUCCUGGCUCAGAUUGAACGCUGGCGGCAUGCCUUACACAUGCAAGUCGAACGGCAGCACGGGCUUCGGCCUGGUGGCGAGUGGCGAACGGGUGAGUAAUACAUCGGAACAUGUCCUGUAGUGGGGGAUAGCCCGGCGAAAGCCGGAUUAAUACCGCAUACGAUCUGAGGAUGAAAGCGGGGGACCUUCGGGCCUCGCGCUAUAGGGUUGGCCGAUGGCUGAUUAGCUAGUUGGUGGGGUAAAGGCCUACCAAGGCGACGAUCAGUAGCUGGUCUGAGAGGACGACCAGCCACACUGGGACUGAGACACGGCCCAGACUCCUACGGGAGGCAGCAGUGGGGAAUUUUUGGACAAUGGCGCCAAGCCUGAUCCAGCCAAUGCCGCGUGUGUGAAAGAAGGCCUUCGGGUUGUAAAGCACUUUUGUCCGGAAAGAAAUCAUUCCUGGCUAAUACCCGGAGUGGAUGACGGUACCGGAAGAAUAAGCACCGGCUAACUACGUGCCAGCAGCCGCGGUAAUACGUAGGGGUGGCGAGCGUUAAUCGGAAUUACUGGGGGCGUAAAGCGUGCGCGAGGGCGGUUUGCUAAGACCGAUGUGAAAUCCCCCGGGCUCAACCUGGGAACUGCAUUGGUGACUGGCAGGCUAGAGUAUGGCAGAGGGGGGUAGAAUUCCACGUGUAGCCAGUGAAAUGCGUAGAGAUGUGGAGGGAAUACCGAUGGCGAAGGCAGCCCCCUGGGCCAAUACUGACGCUCAUGCACGAAAGCGGUGGGGGAGGCAAACAGGGAUUAGAUACCCUGGUAGUCCACGCCUAAACCGAUGUCAACUAGUUGUUUGGGGAUUCAUUUCCUUAGUAACCGUAGCUAACGCGUGAAUUGACCGGCCUGGGGAGUACGGUCCGCAAGAAUUAAAACUCAAAGGAAUUGACGGGGACCCCGCACAAGCGGUGGAUGAUGUGGAUUAAUUCGAUGCAACGCGAAAAACCUUACCUACCCUUGACAUGGUCGGAAGCCCGAUGAGAGUUUGGCGUGGCUCGAAAGAGAACCGGCGCACAGGUGCUGCAUGGCUGUCGUCCAGCUCGUGUCGUGAGAUGUUGGGGUUAAGUCCCCGCAACGAGCGCGCAACCCUUGUCCUUAGUUGCUACGCAAGAGCACUCUAAGGAACUGCCGGUGACAAACCGGAGGGAAGGUGGGGAUGUACGAUCAAGUCCUCAUGGGCCCCUUAUGGGGUAGGGCUUCACACUUCAUACAAUGGUCGGGAACAGAGGGUCGCACACCCGCGCGAGGGGAGCGCAGUCCAGAGGAUAGGAACGCAGCCGAUCGGUGUUAAGUUUCCCGGAUUGCGACUGCUGCCGCUUAUGUCUUGAACAUACCUUCGGUAUCGAGGGUGGGGUCGUGGCUUUAUGAUAGGCUGAAUCGCUAGUAAUCGCGGUGAUCCAGGCGAUGCCGCGGGGGUGGUGAAUUACGUUCUCUCGGGUCUUGCGUAGCACCACCUGCCCCGUUCACA